rnacentral:rRNA from 1 species
AUUGAACGCUGGCGGCAGGCCUAACACAUGCAAGUCGAACGAGUGGCGGACGGGUGAGUAAUGUCUGGGAAACUGCCUGAUGGCGGGGGAUAACUACUGGAAACGGUAGCUAAUACCGCAUACCAUCGGAUGUGCACAGAUGGGAUUAGCUAGGAGGUGGGGUAACGGCUCACCUAGGCGACGAUCCCUAGCUGGUCUGAGAGGAUGACCAGGCACACUGGAACUGAGACACUGUCCAGACUCCUACGGGGUGCAGCAGUGGGGAAUAUUGCCCCAUGGGCGCAAGCCUGAUGCAGCCAUGCCGGGUGUGUGAAGAAGGCCUUCGGGUUGUAAAGCACUUUCAGCGGGGAGGCGUUACCCGCAGAAGAAUCACCGGCUAACUCCGUGCCAGCCGCCGCGGUAAUAC